GGUGGAAGCCCAGCUGCCCCGGCGGUGCUGCGGGGCCCGCGCUUGUGGUGCUCAUGGGGUUGGUUUGGUAUGGGUUUGAGCCGUAGUUCAUGGCUCCGGACUGUGCAUGCUCUUGUUGAUCCAUUCUCUACAAGAAACAAACAAACAAAGAUAUAAACUUUGGAAAGACUAAAGCUUUCUCAAUCAAAUCGUUGGAACAAACCUAGAAGAUCUAAAACAGCAAGUAUAAGCAAGAACAGGACAGAGAAAGAAAAUAAUUGGGGAAAGGAGAGAGACCUCUGAGUUGGUUGAUGCGGGAGAAGAGAGCGUGAAGAUCUGGUUUGUAAUCUUUUGAUUUGGUUUUUAAUUAGGGUUUUUGCUGCUUUUCCCCCUUUUUAUCGACUUUAACAAUGAAGAGAGAAGAGAAAGGGAGGAAGUGGAAAAGGCUUUUAAAAGAGAUGGGUGUCGUGUCAAGCGUUGGGCUUUCGUCUAGAUUCUUGUAGCCUUGUCAGAUGAUGCUUCCUUGUUUUAUUAUUAUGUAAUGUAAUGUAAUUAAUUAAUUAAUUAUUACUCUUUUGACUCAA